UUUCUUUUCUUCUAAACUGGAAAAAACAACAACUUCCAUAUUUACUGUGUUCUGCAUCUUCACCUCGCCAAAUCCAUCUUUAUAUUCGGCGGAAGACCUCGCGGCGACACCCGUCACGUGCAUGCCCUAUAGGUGUUGAAGAGACAAGUCAUACAGGUGUUGAAAAUUCAUCAACCCUUUAUUUUUUUUCUCUAUUAAUCUUUAAAAAGAAAACACAAUCUAUUAUAUAUGCAAGCAAAGCCACUUAAAUUGCUACUAUAUAUGCUUUAUUAUUCUAUAAUCCUUUAAAAAGGAGGUUGUCCCAGAUAGUGUCUUUAUUAUCAUAUAUAGUUAAGUUAUAGGUUUAUUGGGUUGAUAUAUAUAUGACAAUAAGUGGAGGAGAGUUUUCCUAGUCUGAGACAACUUAUUAUACAGUAAUCAGAUUAAACCAUUAAUAAAGCUUUUCAAUCGUUGUUUUCUUAAAUCAAAAUCUUGUCAGUUUGCAAUAACAAUGAAGUUUGAACCUACGUGCGGGAAUAGAUAUCUUUUACUUUUUGGACAUUAAAAUUUUCCAAUUUCCAGACUUUGAUUGAUUUAUUUUGUAAUUUGUAGCAUAAAGAUUGUUGGAAAGAUGAGCUUACUUCCACUAAGAAUGAAAGACAACAAUCAUGUACAACUUUUAUAUGGAGUGGUCAAAAGCAGAAACAAAGGCAACAUAAAAAAUAAUGGAGAUCCUCCAUGGGGUUGCAUGGCAUGGCAUCCAGUUCCACACCAUCUU
rnacentral:lncRNA from 1 species